rnacentral:rRNA from 1 species
GACGAACGCUGGCGGCGUGCUUCACACAUGCAAGUCGAACGGGGAUGCAGCAAAAGCUUGCUUUUAUUGCAUCCUAGUGGCGGACGGGUGAGUAACACGUGAGCAACCUGCCCGACAUACUGGGAUAACAGCGGGAAACCGUUGCUAAUACCGGAUACUCCAUUUCUGGCGCAUGUCAGAGAUGGGAAAGGGUUUACCGAUGUCGGAUGGGCUCGCGUCCCAUUAGCUGGUUGGUGAGGUAACGGCUCACCAAGGCUGCGAUGGGUGGCUGGUCUGAGGGGAAGACCAGCCACACUGGAACGGAGACACGGUCAAGACUCCCACGGGGGGUAGCAGUGGGGAAUAUUGCACAAUGGGAGAAAGCCUGAUGCAGCGACGCCGCGUGGAGGAUGAAGGCCUUCGGGUCGUAACCUCCUGUCUGGGGGGAUGAACACUGACAGUACCCCCGGAGGAAGCCCCGGCUAACUACGUGCCAGCCGCCGCCGUAA